UAUUCUAUUGAUAAAGGUAUAUGAAUCAAAAGGAAGAGAUAUAUAUUGCAAUACUCCAGAGCUCAAAAUUAAUCAGAAUGGAGAUAAACUGCAUUUAAACAUUUUACAUUAUUCCAACAACUAGAUUCUGCACUUCAAAUUUAAAAACGUUGACAUUUCAUACUGUUCAGUAUACUGUACAAGACUGAAGGUAAAUUUCCACAUAUCUUCCUAUCAACCUGCAAUUUUCUUAUUGCAGAGUUGGUUUUAGUCUAAAAAAAAAAUCAUACCCUGUUACUUAUUCAACCAGAGAUGGGAAAUCUCAACAGAGAAUAAUCUUUUGCAGCUGAUUUCCUAUACUCUCUUUUUCACAUAUAUAGGUUGCCAGAUUCUGAAAGUAUUCUUGCUAAGCCAAAAUCUACAUCUGGAGAUGUCUGAGUGAGGUUCUGCAGUUCAACCUGGACUGGGAGGGUGAACGGUGAAGGACUUGGAGAUACAUCAGGAACAGAAUCAACACGAACAACAGGAGUAGAGACUGGUUGCUGCUGAUAGUACAUCUGAAUGGGAAGUGGUAUAGCCCUCCGUUUUACUCCGACCACAUGAAUAUGUGCCUGCCCGUUGCUGCUGGAAUCCUCCACUCUCUUCACUGUAUGAUUUGGAAAGACCGUUCUGUAAAGUACAUAAUACUUAGUUUUGUUAACUAGCACACGAGCAAAAAAACACUGACUUCUAACAGUGUUUACAUAACAGCAGCAGGACAUUUGCUGCUACUCAUAUGAACCAGUAUGAUUCUAUAGUUAUAGAUUCUGUAAGGGUAGGGAGCAAAGAAAAAACAUAAAAGAUCAAUUCUCCAAUUUUAAAAUCAUUAUUAUUAACACUGUGGGGGUUUUAAUAAUUCUAUUGCAUAUAUAAUUAACAAAAAAGCCUGCAUCUAGGCAAUCAGUGUCUAUUUUAUGAACUUUGCAAAUAUCAAAAAGCUUUGAUAUCCGAUGACAAGAGUAUUAGCUAUAGACUAUUAUUCAAGACUACAAAGGGCGAAAGUCAUGUCUCUAACAUAUAAAAGUAGGUAGAAAAAAGUUUGCUCUCUUCUUUCUUUGAUAAAGCCUUCUAAUAUUCAAAUACAAACACCAGGUUUGAUUUCCAAAAUUUCCUUGUAUUUAAAUUUUCACCCUUACUACAACCUAGCCAAUAUUUCAAGUAGUAGAAAUAUUUAAAACUGGAUAUUUUGUCUAAGAGCAAGAGGUGUUCUAAGUGAUAUACAUGAACUUUGUUUGAAGUUAACAACUAUGCAUCCUACCUAAGACAUUUAUAAAAUCCAGUUGAAGUUAGGAUUCCACCACGAGCUAAUUUACUGCACGUUGAGAGGUACUCAGAAUACAUUUCUGCUCGAGAGACAGAACAAUCUGGAUUUACUUCAAAAUGAGCAUUUAGCCUAAAAAAGGAGGAAAAAUAAAUGGCAUUAUGCAUAGUAGAUUAUAGAAGAGUUCAUAUUUACAUACAGCAAAACCAUCUGAAGGCAAUGUAUUAUUAAAUAAUAUUUAUGCCUGUUAAUCAAUUUCUCUCAUGUUAUUAGCAAAAAAUGCACGUUAGGUUUUAGAUUGAUGAAACCAAAUAGAAAGAGAUUAACCAUGUAAUCAUAUUUAUUUUAGUAUAAAAAAUCAUGAACAACAAAUAUAAAAACUGUGCUCACAUCCCAGUGAGAACAGGGUUGGUCUGUUGGCAACAAAUACUCACUCUACAACAAGUAAGUGUUAUUCAACGACUAUCUACUCAAUUUCCUGUCUUGCAAUAAGUAAAAUAUAACAGAAAUUCCCAAUAAUGAGCUAUUUCCAUCGGAGAUGUGGAAAAUGGAGGAAAAACUGAGCUAAAAUUAAACUUGUGUUGCUUCUUGGAUCAAAUUCCUUGAGAAAAACUUACCCAAGCUUCCAACUACUCCUUAAACAAUGAUACUUCUUCCAUGCUGCACACUCCCAUUCCCCCAUUUCAGAGACUUUUAUUCCUAAUCCAUUACAAAGUAAUUCAAACUUCAGUAUGUCUUUUUCAUAUAGUGACUUCCAUCCAUAAAGAAGUUAGGAUUGGAGGCCAAAUUAUCUUCACAGGAUUCUUUUCUAGGAUUUACUAUAUACACAACAGACCAUGUAUAGCUGUUUAUAUAACGGACUCAAUACUUAUGAUAAGAUAACUUUAAAAUGAUUCUCUCCUUCUCCACUAGAACUGGCAGAAAUAUGCAAAUGAGUUUAUAAGGUCAAAUUUAUGCCUAAUAUACACACAUUGUGCAAUGGAUGUGGCACAUACUUUUUCCAACUUUCAUAAUUCUUUGAGUACUGAUUUUCAAAAGGACUAGAUACAAAAAACUUUUUUUGGUUUCAGCGUAGAAGACAAACAUUUCCAAGUAUUAUUGGAAGAGAUUCAUCAAGUAUAGGUGUAAAAAAUACAGAAGGUGAGGAAUAAGCAAAAAAUUAGAGAUAUUUAAAACUAUAACCUAUUUGAGCAAAGUGGAAAAGUCUAGAGAAAACUGCACAGGAACAAGAUACGAAAGCACCAAAAUAUGGAACACAGAAUGACAGGAGCAUGGAAUGGGAGACAAACAAUGUUCGAGAAUGGGAGAAAAGGGAUCAAAGAAAGAAAAAUUUUAAAGUAAUACAUCAUCAGAAAGUGAUCUUUUACAUUCAGUCUGUAAUCUUCUAAAGAGUUUAAGUUGAAAUUCAUAAACUAUGUGGAAGCUAUUAUCCAUGACAAAAUGAAAUCUAACCAAGUCUCCAUUUAUUUUUUUCAGAAAGUGGCUGACAUAGGACUAUUCAGUCUUCUCCAUAAAAUAUUAUUUUCAAGUUGCUUAUUUCUAGGGUAAACUCACUGGCUCUUCUAUCAUUUGAUUAGUUUCCCCUUACUAUACCCAAAAAAGAAAACUAUCAGUGAACAAGAAGUAUUGCUUGUGAUGAAAAAGGAAGGGACAUUUAACAACAAAAUCUGGUUUAUUUUCUUAAAGACAGUCCUGGUCAGUUUUAAUAAAAUACUGAUUUAAGGAAAAACAGAUUUUAUAAUCUGACAAAUCUUAUUUUCCUACAAAGUCAAAGGGUAACAUUUAACACAAAUUUUACUCUGAAAAGAAGUGGUGUAAUUAAUGAAAUUCUAGUCAAAGACUAUUUUAAUUCUGAAGAUUAUGAUGAAUAUUUUUCUUUUAAACUGUUCUAAAAUGCAGGUGAAAUGAUUUACAUUAUCCUUUCUUUGUAUAAAUGAUAUUCUCUACUCUGACUAAAAAGAAAUACAGAAAUAAAACAUUCUGGAAUGACUGUUGAAAUACA